rnacentral:rRNA from 1 species
CCGUUCAAUACUGCGGAGCUCGAGGGCAGAAGAGGGGGGUGGAAUUGCUGGUGCAGUGGUGAAAUGCGUAGAUAUCAGCAGGAACACCUGUGGCGAAAGCGGCCCCCUGGUCUGCUCCUGACACUCAGACGCGAAAGCUAGGGGAGUGAACGGGAUUAGAAACCCCGGUAAUCCUAGCCGUAAACGAUGGAUGCUAGGUGUGGGUGGUAUUGACCCCAUCCGUGCCGAAGCCAACGCGUUAAGCAUCCCGCCUGGGGACUACGGCCGCAAGGUUAAAACUCGAAGGAAUUGACGGGGACCCGCACAAGCAGCGGAGCGUGUGGUUUAAUUCGAUGCUACACGAAGAACCUUACCCAGGUUUGACAUGCAGGUAGUAGUGAAGCGAAAGCGGAACGAUCCUUCGGGAAGCCUGCACAGGUGCUGCAUGGCUGUCGUCAGCUCGUGCCGUGAGGUGUUUGGUUAAGUCCACUAACGAGCGCAACCCCUGUCGUCAGUUACAUGUGUCUGGCGAGACUGCCGGUCUUAAACCGGAGGAAGGUGGGGAUGACGUCAAGUCAGCAUGGCCUUUAUAUCUGGG